rnacentral:rRNA from 1 species
GAUGAACGCUGGCGGCGUGCCUAAUACAUGCAAGUCGAGCGAACAGAUGAGGAGCUUGCUCCUCUGACGUUAGCGGAGGACGGGUGAGUAACACGUGGAUAACCUCCCUAUAAGACUGGGAUAACUUCGGGAAACCGGAGCUAAUACCGGAUAAUCUAUUGAACCGCAUGGUUCAAUAGUGAAAGACGGUUUUGCUGUCACUUAUAGAUGGUUCCGCGCCGCAUUAGCUAGUUGGUAAGGUCACGGCUUACCAAGGCAACGAUGCGUAGACGACCUGAGAGGGUGAUCGGCCACACUGGAACGUGGCCACGGUCCAGACGCCUACGGUAGGGAGCAGUAGGGAAUCGUCCGCAAUGGGCGAAAGCCUGACGCAGCAACGCGGCGUGAGUGAUGAAGAUCUUCGGAUCGUAAAACUCUGUUAUGAGUGAAGAACAAAUGUGUAAUUAACUAUGCACGUCUUGACGGUACCGAAUCAGAAAGCCACGGCUAACUACGUG